ACAAAGCGCGACGAGAGGCGGCCGAGGCAGCCGAAAGGGAAGUGGGGCUACCCCACAGCCAGGCAGCGGGGCUGGGGUCAGACCCGGGAGCCGGAGGUUGGAGACGUGCGACAGUCACCUGCGGGCAGAUUCCAGAGGGGAGACCCAGGGCUGCAGGGGACGCCCCUUCGUGGCAGCUACCCAGCCUCGGCCCACUGCCAGGCGGAGGCGAGAGGAUCACUUGAGCAUGGACAUUCAAGACCAGCCUGGGCAGCAAAUGUUACGUGGCUGCAUGACCAUACACUUCUGGGUAGAGCCCAGUGGAAGACAAAGAAGACUCAAGGAAUAGCCCUUGAGGGCUCAGGAGCUAUACAGAUGGGAUAGAGGGUGUGAGUGCUGGGAAGCCCCAUCCAUGGCUCGCUGGAGAUUAGAGGCCUGUUAAUCUGAAGACAAAGGAAUGAAGACGAAAACGUUUCUGAAAAUGUGGGUGGAGACACCUGGGCCUUUACAGGGUACGCUCCAGAGCUGCUUCCAGGCAGGGACCCCGGCUGAGAGAAGCCAGAGCCAGAGAGUCGCAGGCUUGCUUGCUCUUAUCUUCCCUCUGCUGGGGGGGUCGAGGGGAGAUCUGGCCCCUCUGCUCUGCCCUCCUGAUUUCCCGUCUAAGGGAUUUAGGAGACUUUUGCCUUUUCCUAAUCUCUCCCUUUGCAGAAUUUCUGCGAAGUCACAAUCCCAUUUCCAGGCAAAGGUGCUUGGUCAUAAAGAUAAUAAAGAUAUUCAUUCAUGAUGGAGGGGAAGUACACAGUGGUUUCAGCUGCCUGUAGGGCUCCACUUACUCAUGGUGUGUGACAGAUGCUGAGCCCUUCCCCAAAUCUCAUGGAUGGGAAGGAAACCUGGCGCCGCGGGGUGGUCGCGGGAAGCCGUGGCAUGGCUUGGUGAACACAGGCUCGCCGACCCGGGGGCGGAUGCUGAGGUUGCCAUUGUUGGUGGCUGCAUCUGCAGUAGACGGGUCGGGAUGCCGGCCUCAGACCACAGCGUUGCUAAAUGCCAAACCCAAGGCCUCCCCGUCUUUAACACUGCUGGGCAUUCUACAGCGCAAGGAGGCAGCUGGGGCUGGACUGCCCAGUGCCUGCCGUUGACUGUGCGUCUUCUGCCUGUGAGCUAGCCUGCCACACCUGGGGAUACACGGUGGGGAAAUCAAUCAGCUUCCCUCCCUUCUAGAGCUUCAGGUCCGGCGUUGGUGUCUAGAGGCAAGGGGAGGAGGCAGGGAGGCCUCUUCUUUUCUGUCCCCCUUUCUCUUGGCCAAUUUGGAGGAGAUGGUGGGGGACCUGUCUCUCAUCUGACCUCCUGGAAGCCCUGCCUGCUGCUCCAGUGUGGCUCUCCCAGGGCUGAGGCCUGGAACCUAGGGCUGGGCUACCUGGGGUGCUCAGCUCUGCCGCACCCCAGCCCUCCUCGGCUGCAGCCCUGGCUUCUUUUCUUACCCACUGGGAUGGCCCGUGGGACUAACCUUGCAGCCUGCAGGACUAUGGCCCAGAUGACCUUUCCGGAGCAGGGGAAGAGUUCACAGGUCUCAGACCAGGUUGACCCCGAGCCCUCUCUUUCCUGCUUCGCAUAGGGGCGGGCCAAGGGAGGCAGGGACAAUGGCAUUCCUGUUUGCAGGCCUUUGUUCCCGCCAGGAGGGCCCCCGGAGCUAAUAAAAAGGUUUGUGGCUCCGAUGUCUAAGAGGCAG
rnacentral:lncRNA from 1 species